AGCAAGCCGAAAUGACCUUUCUCUUUCUCCUUGUGUGUGUGGUGGAUCCACGGCAGCAGCUGUCAGUGAGUCCGGAGUGGAGUGGGGAAGACUCUAAAUCUUGUUCUACCCUUCUUCUUCUUUUUUAUGUUCUUUUGUCAAUAAGCAAAGCAAAACAAAAUGGAUCAAUCUUCUAUCACUCACUCUACGGUAUUGCUAUGCUGGCAGCUGGCCUCUUCUUCCACAUGUGGAUCACGAUACUUGCUCAUCUAUGUAUGCAUUGAGGAUGAAACCAAAUGGGGGCGUCUUUAUGGUUUUUUUAAGGAAAACUACGGCGGGGUCAGAUGGAAUACCUUCCCGUCUAAGCGGGCAAAGGAACCACCACCUCUUACCCCCUCCCAACACCGGAGUAUGCCGUUGGGCUACCAAAACUCGGUCCAUCGACAAGAUAUUGAUGAUUGUGGACACCGUCACCGCGAGGUUGCCAGCACGCAAGCUUUCGACAUGGUUCUCGCCACCCGAGGCGACCGGCGUAAAGCUCUGACGAGGAGCCUACCGUCGGUUUUGCUUUCGAUUACGUUGGAUGUAUUCAGCAAAGAUAAAAGUGGAAAGUUUUUGUCAAGAGGUGUCGUACGAGUGCUAGUGUUUAAAUUUGAGCGAGCUAAAGUCCCCUAUUGCAUUUUUCGUCUGUCAACCAAUAUGCUCACUAAAGAUUAAUGCUACAUUUUUACGGGUCGAUAAACAAAACUACUCCCCGAAUGUAAUGCCGGUCCUUAUCUUAGUCGGAUAUACGUAGUUCAUCCCUAUAAUGUUUUUGGUGCGCCAUGAAAACGCAAAGAUGGCCAGGACUCGGUGUUGUUUUA